rnacentral:rRNA from 1 species
UACGUAGGGGGCAAGCGUUGUCCGGAUUUAUUGGGCGUAAAGAGCGUGUAGGCGGUCAGGUAGGUCCGUUGUGAAAACUCGAGGCUCAACCUCGAGACGCCGAUGGAAACCAUCUGACUAGAGUCCGGAAGAGGAGAGUGGAAUUCCUGGUGUAGCGGUGAAAUGCGCAGAUAUCAGGAAGAACACCCGUGGCUAAGGCGGCUCUCUAGUACGGUACUGACGCUGAGGCACGAAAGCCAGGGGAGCGAACGGG